AUGCAGAUCUUCGUCAAGACUUUAACCGGAAAGACCAUCACUCUCGAGGUUGAGAGCAGCGACACCAUCGACAACGUCAAGGCCAAGAUCCAGGACAAGGAAGGUAUCCCUCCUGACCAGCAGAGGUUGAUUUUUGCCGGUAAGCAGCUGGAAGAUGGUCGCACUCUUGCUGAUUAUAACAUUCAAAAGGAAUCAACGCUUCACUUGGUCCUGAGGCUCAGAGGAGGAACCAUGAUUAAAGUGAAGACUUUAACUGGAAAGGAAAUUGAAAUUGACAUUGAGCCUACUGAUACAAUUGACCGUAUCAAGGAACGUGUAGAAGAAAAAGAGGGAAUUCCACCUGUGCAGCAAAGGCUCAUAUAUGCUGGUAAGCAGCUUGCUGAUGACAAAACAGCUAAAGAGUACAACAUUGAGGGUGGUUCUGUCCUUCACUUGGUGCUUGCAUUGAGGGGUG